rnacentral:lncRNA from 1 species
CAGUGUGUAGUCUAUUGUAGUAGCCAGUUGUAGUCCUAUUAGUAGGUGUGUUAUGUAUUGCCAGUGGUAGUCUUAGUGCUGUUUUAGUGGGUUGUGUUAUGUAGUAGCCAGUGGUAGUCUAUUGUAGUAGUUGUGUUAUGUAGAGCCAGUGGUAGUCUUAGUGCUGUUUAGUGGGUUGUGUUAUGUAGCAGCAAGUGGUAGUGGGUUGUGGUGUGUGUCGUAGCCGUGGGGUUUGUCUUGUAGUAGGUUGUGUUAUGUAGUAGCCAGUGGUAGUCUGUGUGUAGGGGUUGUGUUAUGUAGUAGCCAUGUGGUAGUCUAUUGUAGUGGGUUGUGUUAUGUAGUAGCCAGUGGUAGUCUAUUGUAGUAGGUUGGUGUUAUGUAGUAGCCAGUGGUAGUGGGUUGUGUUAUGUAGUAGCCAGUGGUUGUCUAUUGUAGUAGGUUGUGUUAUGUAGUGUAGUAGGUUGUGUU